rnacentral:tRNA from 1 species
GGCCCCGUAGCUCAGCCCGGAUAGAGUACUUGGCUUUUAACCAAGGUGUCGGGGGUUCAAAUCCCCUCGGGGCCA